AGCACUGGAACAAGACAGUAUCAACCACAGGGUCCCUGUGCAGGGUCCCUGUCCAUCCCAACAAAUGGACGACUCACUUCCAGAGACUGGGCACUCAGCAGCCACGCCCAAGGCCCCAACAGCGUCCUAACAUCAGGGCUAAGGCACUAGAGGGUUUGAUGGUUCUGAGGCACUCGUGGAGAGAAGAAAGGAGUGGAAGAUAGAGGAGAGAAGAAAGCAGGGCUUGGACAGAUAAGGCCAGAGGGGAUUUCCCCCUUCCCAAGUUGCUCCCAGCCACCAAAGAGUUUCCGGGCCUCACAAAGGCUUUUCCCAGCUCACCAGCCUGUCUGACCACAGCCUAACAGUGAGAUCCAGAACAGAUACAUCCUUAAAGCACUUAGGCUUACUGCAAAAGGCCAGCAUAGUUGUGGAAAGAGUCCAGUUUAUUUGGGCUAGGGUCUAUGGGCUGCGAUUUUCUCACACUUGAUUUUAGCCUACAGGCUGAGAAUUGACUAGGUUGUGAUUUCUUAACUGAAUUUUGUUGGGAGCUCUGACUCUGAAUUUGAGUGCCACUGGCUGCUGCAUCUACUUUGUAUCAACUCCAGGUGCUCCUCCCACAUCUAAGUCUGAGGUUUAAGAAGUACAGUAAAGCUGCUAUGAAUUCCCAGCUAUGGGAAUUUUCCUCAAAGCUUCAUUGUCUAAACUCUGAACCUCAUCAUAACCUCAGUUCUGCCUAGCUCCAUAACUAGUAGGUUUCACAAUUUGAUGUCCUCUUGCUGUGCUGACCCACUUGGAACUGGCUCUGACAUUCUGCCACCAACACACAGGAAGCAAACAGGUUUUUUUCUACUGGUGUUGGUGUACUUUGUGCUCAGAGAAUAGAAUAUCCCAGGGGAGUGUCAAACCAUGAGAAAAGGAAAGGUUACCAAGCAACGGCUUCAGGCAAAUCACCUCAGAUCUGCUCUCCAUUCCCCCAGGGUUGUGGGGGUCCGAAGCACAAGCAGAUGUCUGGAGGGAGCUAUUACUCACAUCCUCCCCUUCUUAAUUUCCCCUUCUUAAUUUCGCUCGGUGGCAGUAGCAGCAGUCACAGACCAAUCUCUAUCACUUCAGGAAAGAAGGGGGCAGAAACAGCCACCCUCCUCCUAACUUUGGACAGAGCUUACUCCAGAAGACAGUCUUGGAGUAGAACACCAUGGACCAAGUACUUGCCGAGCAUGCCCACUGCCCUCGAUUGUACAUGUGCAAAUACUUUCUUUGCCUAUUCAGAAAUUAGCAGAAACUGUUGAAUAAAGGGAUAAAGGAG